rnacentral:rRNA from 1 species
AUUAGAGUUUGAUCCUGGCUCAGGAUGAACGCUAGCGGCAGGCUUAACACAUGCAAGUCGAGGGGUAUGCUUCUUCGGAAGCAGAGACCGGCGCACGGGUGCGUAACGCGUAUGCAAUCUACCUUUCACAAAGGGAUAGCCCAGAGAAAUUUGGAUUAAUACCUUAUAGUAAUGCGACUUGGCAUCAAGAUGUAUUUAAAGAUUUAUCGGUGAAAGAUGAGCAUGCGUCCCAUUAGCUAGUUGGUAUGGUAACGGCAUACCAAGGCUACGAUGGGUAGGGGUCCUGAGAGGGAGAUCCCCCACACUGGUACUGAGACACGGACCAGACUCCUACGGGAGGCAGCAGUGAGGAAUAUUGGACAAUGGGCGCAAGCCUGAUCCAGCCAUGCCGCGUGCAGGAUGACGGUCCUAUGGAUUGUAAACUGCUUUUGUACAGGAAGAAACCCUUUCACGUGUGGAAGAUUGACGGUACUGUAAGAAUAAGGAUCGGCUAACUCCGUGCCAGCAGCCGCGGUAAUACGGAGGAUCCAAGCGUUAUCCGGAAUCAUUGGGUUUAAAGGGUCCGUAGGCGGUCAGAUAAGUCAGCGGUGAAAUCUUCGAGCUUAACUCGGAAACUGCCAUUGAUACUAUCGAUCUUGAAUCAUCUAGAGGUAAGCGGAAUAUGUCAUGUAGCGGUGAAAUGCUUAGAUAUGACAUAGAACACCAAUUGCGAAGGCAGCUUACUAUGGAUGUAUUGACACUGAGGCACGAAAGCGUGGGGAUCAAACAGGAUUAGAUACCCUGGUAGAAUCACUAGUG